CGGCGUGCUUAACACAUGCAAGUCGAACGAAAAGAGGGGAAGAGCUUGCUCUUUUCAGAAUUGAGUGGCAAACGGGUGAGUAACACGUAAACAACCUGCCUUCAGGAUGGGGACAACAGACGGAAACGACUGCUAAUACCGAAUAAGUUCCAAGAGCCGCAUGGCCCAUGGAAGAAAAGGUGGCCUCUACCUGUAAGCUAUCGCCUGAAGAGGGGUUUGCGUCUGAUUAGCUGGUUGGUGGGGUAACGGCUCACCAAGGCAACGAUCCCUAGCUGGUCUGAGAGGAUGACCAGCCACACUGGAACUGAGACACGGUCCAGACUCCUAUGGGAGGCAGCAGUGGGGAAUAUUGCACAAUGGGCGCAAGCCUGAUGCAGCCAUGCCGCGUGUAUGAAGAAGGCCUUCGGGUUGUAAAGUACUUUCAGCGGGGAGGAAGGGAGUAAAGUUAAUACCUUUGCUCAUUGACGUUACCCGCAGAAGAAGCACCGGCUAACUCCGUG
rnacentral:rRNA from 1 species